rnacentral:tRNA from 1 species
GCCCGGGUGGUGUAAUUGGUAGCCACGAGAGACUUAAAAUUUCUUGCCAUUUAUGGCGUGUGGGUUCAAGUCCCACCCCGGGCA